CCGAGAUGUCAUGAGUAUACUAUGGCUGAGCCCACAGAGCUGCUCGACAAUCAUGCUGCAGCCUAACUGAGGAGCAUGGUGAGCAGCAGGCCUCUAGGGGGAAGCAAAGGUAUGGGACAUGCUGGUGAUGUGCGCCAUUUUGUAUUUAUUGUGGCGAAAAGCCAUGAACCCAAUCGUGUACUGCCAUGGCUGAGACUUGAUUCUUGCUUGUGGAAUCGUAUAUUGGGAGAGAAAAUCAGAAUUUUGGCACAGGUUUAAGUAAAUCUAUUUACAAAAAAUCUGACUGAAGAUCCUGAGACACUUUGUGAAAAUACCUAUUGCAUUCACUUGUCCAUGAGCUGUUUAGUAAUUAUUCUCUGUUUCUAGGGUUCUCAUUGACAUCCUGCUGGGCUUCUCUGAGUGGGUAAGUAUCGGUCUGCUAGGCUGCUGACAUUCAUCUCUACACAAUGAUUCGGUCAUGUAUGCUCAACUGGAUUGAAGCUGUAGAUAGACUUUGUUGUAUGAAUUGUUAAUUGUCAGAAUCCACGUCAUCUACAUUUAUAGGUAAUGAGGCCAAUAUCAGGAUACUGAAAUGUGAAACCUGUGGCAUUUGUUCAACUGCAUCCUAAAUUAUGUACAGAUGUUGGAAUAAAAUUUGAUAAUGCUCCA